UACGUAGGGACCAAGCGUUGUUCGGAUUUACUGGGCGUAAAGGGCGCGUAGGCGGCGCAACAAGUCACUUGUGAAAUCUCCGGGCUUAACCCGGAGCGGCCAAGUGAUACUGUAGUGCUAGAGUGCGGAAGGGGCUACUGGAAUUCUCGGUGUAGCGGUGAAUGCGUAGAUAUCUGGAGGAAUACGGUGGCGAAGGCGGCAUCCUGGACCGGCAUUGACGCUGAGGAGCGAAAGCUAGGGGAGCAAACGGG
rnacentral:rRNA from 1 species